UGUAUGGUAACUUGGCCAUUCUUCCCCUUGUCUUCAGAUGUCUACUAAGAAGCAUCGAGCCAUGGGGUCUGAGGAGUGGGUGAGCCGCCUGAGGGCAUUUGCCUCUUCUGGCACUUGGCCCUCCAGUGCAGGGAACAGGCCAUCUCCGAAACAGGCCAAGUGGCCCAACCUCUACCAGAAGAUUGAGUAGUGUCCCACGAUGCUGCGUGGGCAAACCUCUAUCUUAAGGGUAGCGCAGACAUGUACCUGUGGCUUUCACCCCCAGCAGCCCUGCAGCUACCUCUGCCUCCACCUCUGCUGCGCCUGCACGGAGCCCUGGGAGGCAUGCAUUGACGCUGGCGAUGUUUGAGAAAUCGCGGUUCGGUGGGACUUUGUCUGCUGCAGCCAAGCCGAAUGUCAAUCUGACUAGGAGGCCUGUUGAGGUAAUUGAUGUACCUAUAGCUGUGCCUGAUGCCUUAGAACACAGCCAUACAGCCAACACUAUCCUUGUU